GGGUGCGAUCAUACCAACGUUAAUGCACCAGAUCCCAUCAGAACUUCAUAGUUAAGCACACUUGGGAUAGAUUAGUACUCAGAUGGGUGACCUCCCGGGAAGUUCUAGUGUUGCACCCU
rfam:Picea glauca, whole genome shotgun sequence.